UACAGAGGUGGCAAGCGUUGUUCGGAAUUACUGGGCGUAAAGCGCGCGUAGGCGGCUUUGCAAGUCGGGUGUGAAAUCCCCGGGCUCAACCUGGGAAUUGCGAUGGAGACUGCAAGGCUAGAAUCUGGCAGAGGGGGGUAGAAUUCCACGUGUAGCAGUGAAAUGCGUAGAGAUGUGGAGGAACACCGAUGGCGAAGGCAGCCCCCUGGGUCAAGAUUGACGCUCAUGCACGAAAGCGUGGGGAGCAAACAGG
rnacentral:rRNA from 1 species